AAUAUCUGAUGACUGUUGAAUGGCAUGUUUGUCUCACUAGGGAAAUACCAUGCAUCUUAAGAGCAUUUUUGUGGAGAACAUGCUGUUUUGUUGACCUGUAAAUCAGAAGCUCAAGAAAAAAACAAAACCCUUAUUUGUCCCAGAUGUGUACUAGAAACUCAAUGUCCUAACCUGAGGAACCAGCUCAGUGCCUGGAAAGCUCGAGGAUGGCAAACGUGUUGUGAAACAUGCAGAUGUGAGUGGCCUUCCAAAGUGAACCAGCUGGGACGGAGAGAUACCAGCAGCAUAACUGUGUCUUCCUGGUAAGGAGUAGGCCAGAACACAGUCUGCUGGUCAGCAAUGCUGCAAGUCUAGAUAGAUGGUGACGGUCCAAAAUAUUUGUUUGGUUUUUGAGAAGAGGAGAGUAAAAAACUCAACAUUUUUGAAAGCAUUCUGGCAUAUCACACAGAUGAAGAAACAAGAAUAACAAAAUAACACUGGUGAUAAACCUGCAGAGCCAUGGAAGUCUUGCUGAGGCAUAUAUUUAUAGAAUAUUCUUACUUACCCACAAGUGGAUCAUUUUUAGAUCAGUCUGAUUUGAUUCAGUUUUAAGUUAAUGUUCACAGUUAACAAAAUUUGACCAGUUUGACACACUGAUGCUUGACCUUGAAAGAAUGGCGACUCUUCUUUAUCGGUUUUCAAUGGUGUUACAAGGAGCCUUAGAAGUUGUGUGGAAGCCCCAGCAAGCCAAUCAGAUGGGGCUCUAAUCUAUUACAUCUGUUUUCAUUUAUACUUCUUUUGUUUACAUGUCUGUAAGAUUUCCUUUGACAGAUUGAGACUGGUGAUGGCAUGAUGGUUGUCUUUGGAAAACAACAGUUUCAUCUUAUAGAAAGUGCUAAAACCUUUAUCAGUUCAAAUAUUAAGAAGCUGCAGAUGUGUUUGCAAAACACAACAUAUUUCUAAUCAUUGCAUGCAUUAUUCUUUUUAAAACGUCAGCCAUUUUUCUUGUAUUUGUCAACCAAACUGUGACCUCUCUGAAAGCAGGAACAUUAAUUGUGUGUCUUUAUUGCGUUUAGCACAGUGCCUAGAAUGAUACCGAAUGAGUAAAUGGAUGGAUGGAUAACAUGGACAAUUAGAAGAGUGACUGUCAUACACCACUAAGACCUGGCACUUAGUAAUUGUGUUCUAGUCUUGUUUCAGUAAUUCUGUUUUGUAAGACCCUGAAUAAAUUAAUUUUGUAUCUCAU
rnacentral:lncRNA from 1 species